UACCUUGCGCGCGCCAUGUUGUUUCUCACCUCCAAGGCCUGAUUGCCGUCCCUGUCAGCAGACUAUGGACUGAAACCUCUACAAAUGCAUGAGGAACUUCACUGAGUGCUGACACUAUGCUCUUGGACUGGCAGCCUCUGGAACUGCAUAGGAAAGAUACUUCUGGAAUGAAGGAUUUUUUUUCUGAGAAAGAUCAGCCCUGCUUCAGAGGAAAAGGUGUACAGAGUUUGUCCUGGGAAAAUGUAUAGAUGCCAGCUGCAGUUUUACCUUUGGAAAGAAUGCCAAAUCGGUAAUCACAACAAAGCCUCUCCAAAGGGUCAUGGAAGCUGAGAAGGACCAAGAUCAGGGACAAUGAGACUUCAUAACCUCAAGGCCACAAUGAGAAUUAUGGAAGUGCUUUAAAAGAUAAACCCAGAAUACACACAGAAUGUCAACUUCCUUAUAAAGAUAAGGAAAGUGAAAGUGACUAAUUUGAGGAUACCCUUCCUGAAGCUACCAGUUCUUGGAUUUGAACACCUUUCUAGUUUGUAGUCCUGUACAUUUUAUGCUGCAUUUCUCAACUUCCUCUUGCUUUCCUUUCCUCACUUAUCUGUGGUUGAAAAGGUUUCCAGCCCAACUUUGGGGCAAAGGAGUUACAAGUAGCGAAAUUUUCCUUCAAAUUAUUAUUAACUAUUAUUAACUUAAUAUAAAUAUUAGUUAUUUGGCAGAGGGAAUAGGAGUGAAAGAAGACUAGUAUGCAGAAGGAACCACAGAAUGUCCAAUAUCAUAAUUAUUUUUUUGGUACCAGGGAUUGAACUUGAUGUCAUAAUUUUUGAAAGAAAGACCACAUGAGAUUGGAGCAUUACUGAAAAAGGGUACCACAUCAUUUAAGGAAGAGAGAGAAAAGAAGAGGUUGCUCAGCUUUAAAAGGGAAAACUCACAAAAACUAUCACAUACUACAAUGGCUUCCAUUCAGAUAAAGAAAUGGACAAUAAAUCAUACUAACAUUCUGUGAGGACCCAAUAUAUGUAGGUCAAAUUGUUGGUGGAUGUUUCACAUUACCUUAUAGAAGAGGUAACUGAAGCUGUGAGAUUUUAAGCUUUGGUUAAUUUCCCAAUGGAGCAAGAAUUCAAAUGGAAGUCCAGCUUUCAAGCAUUCAUUGUUUUCUGAGCCCUUCCAUAAGGAAACAUUGACAUUGUGUGCUCUAUGUUCUUGGAACCAUUCAAGUUGAAGCUGAGGGAAUAUAUGAUAGUGGUACUUCAGCAGCAAUGCUUGCACUUGGUAAGGUUUUUUGGAAUGGUAAUCUGCAUAGUCCCUUCUAAAUAAUGGAACUAUUCUAGGUACCUUUCACUAACUGGGAAAGGUCAGCUGUUUCUAAGGAGAAUUGCAUUGCAUUGCUGUUCCUGUUGUUAAACUAACACAUUGAAAAUGAAGGGCUUAGGUUAUUAGGUCACUUGAGUCAGUGUACUCUUCAGAAUAAUUAUUUAUGAUACUAGAACACAUCAAGCAUUACUAGUAGAAAAGACAAACAAGUGCUCUAUAACUCAAAGAACAGAUUGUUCAUACAUUUCUUUUAUUAGUUAGUCUUAACAUUGGAGUAGGAAAGCUAUAAAUAGCACUAAUAUAAGGUUAGACAUAGGGAAAUAUAUAGGUGCCAUCUCAAAAUAUAUUACAUAGAGCAAUAUUAGAUUUGGAAGGAGACAAAUGUCAGAAGCCACAUCAAAAUAGGAAAUGUCAGUCUAGAAUCCAGGAGAUAAUCAGAAGUAAGAAUAAACAUGGAUUAA